GGACAUAUUGGAGUUUGCUAUU
rnacentral:misc_RNA from 1 species